GGCGAAAGCCUGAUCCAGCCAUGCCGCGUGUCUGAAGAAGGCCUUCGGGUUGUAAAGGACUUUUGUCAGGGAGGAAAUCCCUAGCGUUAAUACCGCUGGGGGAUGACAGUACCUGAAGAAUAAGCACCGGCUAACUACGUGCCAGCAGCCGCGGUAAUACGUAGGGUGCGAGCGUUAAUCGGAAUUACUGGGCGUAAAGCGUGCGCAGGCGGUUUGAUAAGCCAGAUGUGAAAUCCCCGAGCUCAACUUGGGAACUGCGUUUGGAACUGUCAGACUAGAGUGCGUCAGAGGGGGGUGGAAUUCCGCGUGUAGCAGUGAAAUGCGUAGAGAUGCGGAGGAACACCGAUGGCGAAGGCAGCCCCCUGGGAUGACACUGACGCUCAUGCACGAAAGCGUGGGGAGCAAACAGGAUUAGAUACCCUGGUAGUCCACGCCCUAAACGAUGUCAAUUAGCUGUUGGGGGUUAGAAUCCCUGGUAGCGUAGCUAACGCGUGAAAUUGACCGCCUGGGGAGUACGGCCGCAAGGUUAAAACUCAAAGA
rnacentral:rRNA from 1 species